AUUGGAUUGAGAACAAUGUACAACUCUUAUCGAUAAGCCAUUGGAGGGCAAGUCUGGUGCCAGCAGCCGCGGUAAUUCCAGCUCCAAUAGCGUAUAUUAACGUUGUUGCAGUUAAAAAGCUCGUAGUUGAAGUGUGGGUGAUCGCUGUUGUGAGACUUCGGUCUCUCGACAGUAAGUCACCCCCUUCCAGUAUCCAGUAGUGGGUAUUCAGUUACUUACUAUUGUGUGUUGGUCCUUUACUGUGAGAAAAUUAGAGUGUUCAAAGCAGGCGUUUGCUUGAAUAGAUUAGCAUGGAAUAAUAAUUGAAGGCUUUCGUGUUCGAUUUGAUUGGUUUGUUCAUGGAAGCAAGGUUAAAAGGAACAGUUGGGGGUAUUCAUAUUCACUAGUUAGAGGUGAAAUUCUCGGAUUUAUGGAAGAUGAACA
rnacentral:rRNA from 1 species